CAUCUUUCCCACGAUCCUUUUCCUCUUUCCUUUUCACGCGCCGGACCCUGGUCAAACUACCCAGAGCGACCCGAGUCAUACCUCGAUCCGCUGUUCCGCCGCCGCGCGACCCGAGCGCUGGCCGCAUCCAGCAGCCACAUCAUGGCGGCGCGACGAAGCAGUCCACGCCGGCGCCUCCCUGCCGCUCCCCUCUCCCUCUAACGUUUCUUCGCCACCCGCCGCUCGGCGCCUUCCGCCCGUCGGCCUCCUCCUCCCUGGAUCUCGGCUGGUCGAUCCUGCCCGUGGGCGCAUGGCUGGACCGCCCGACACCUCAACUCCGGCGCCAACGGACCUGCCAUCCUGCUCACCUGCCCGGGUCUCCCGUGCGCUUCAGUGCAACGCCCUGCAGCAGCUCUCCCCUGGUCAGCCGUCCCUCUGCUCAGCGGCGCCCGGACUGGCUCGCCUGUCUCCCUUGCGACCAACGACCUGAACAACAAUAGACUGGCUUUACGGAGAUAAGGCAAAAAUGACACGAGAUAGGAGCUGGAUGGACAGGGAAAGAGAUUCUGUUGAGUGGCAAACUGGCAUGAAGGAUUUCUUGAAUUUUGACUUUGAUGGUGCUCACCCAGACUCAACAGUCCCAUGCCCAUGUAGGAGAUGUCUCAAUAUUGCUCCGAAAAAUAAAAAGGAUGUUCAUACUGACUUGUUGUUCAAUGGGAUGGAUCCAACCUACACUCGCUGGAUAUACCAUGGUGAACAAUCCAAUGAGGGAAGCAUGUCUGAAGAUUCUGAUAAUGAAGACGCUGUAGAUGAUGGUUCUGGGGUAUGUGACAUGCUCAAUACUCUCAUAAAGGGCACAAACAUGGAAGCAAUGCAGACAUUGGUGAAGGUGCGGGAGACAUUCAUGUGGAUGCUUCGAGCGGUGAUGAAAGGAACCAGGAGCCAAAUGCAACAGCCAAGGUCUUCUUCGAACUAUUGAAAGAGGCAUAAAAUGAUUUGUACCCAGGUUGCAAGGAUUUCACGAAGCUAUCUUUCAUUGUGAAGCUUUACCAAAUCAAGUGCGUGUCCGCGAUGACCAAUAGAGCAUGUGACUUAGUUCUGCAGAUGUUCACGCAGGUGCUGCCAAAGGGUCAUUGCAUUCCUACUAAUCUUGCAAAAGUAAGGAAGGUGAUCCGAGAUCUUGGGCUGGACUGCAAGAAGAUACACGUGUGCGUUAAUGAUUGCGUGCUAUUCCGUAAUGAACAUGCUGAUGCAGAAGAAUGCCCUGUCUGUCAUGCGUCUCGAUGGAAAUCUACUCCUACCAGUGCCAGAAAUUACAAUACCUGAAGAGAUCACUAGGUGGUGCAGAAAUGAUGACGAAGGAUCCAGCGUUGAUGUUUCGGUCAUAGAAAAUAUAAAACCUAUUGAGGUUGAAGAUGUCCAGUUCAAAUUUGAUGAUGAUACAGAUGAUGAUGAGGCUUACGUAAAUGAUGGCCAUGUUGCUCCUUUGGGACAAGAAGAAUCGGAUGAUGACCAGGGGUUCUUUGUAUAGUUUUUAAUCUCUUGGUUCAAACAAGGCACCCCUGCAUAGUGUCAUCUGUUGUGGCAAAUGAGAACAAAAGCUAGUGCUCAACACUAACAGUUUGGUGAUGAAGAGAAGAGAAGAGUAGUUGUUGUUCUUUUAAAUGGAGCCUGGGAGUGUUUAAAAAUAGAUAGUAUGCAGCCUUGCUCAAUUUCUCUGUUUAACACAUAAUUUUAUAUUGAAUCUCCUUUUUUAUUAA